CCCUUAGAUAUCCUAGGCUGCACGCGAGCUACAAUGGUAUAUAUAAAAGGUUGCUGCUCUGAGAAGACUGGCAAUACCCUGAUAUAUAUCGUAUUUGGAAUAGAUUUUUGUAAUUAUCAAUCUUGAACGAGGAAUUCCUAGUAAAAAUAUUUCAUCAUAAUGUUUUGAUUGUGUCCCUGCCCUUUGUACACACCGCCCGUCGCUCCUACCGAUUGAAUAUUCCGGUGAGAAGAUAGGAGAAAAAUCUUUUGAUUUUUUGAAUAUUUUUGAACCUUGAUAUUUAGAGGAAGGUGAAGUCGUAACA
rnacentral:rRNA from 1 species